UAUGCACACAAGUGUAAGUCGCUUUGGAUAAAAGUGUCUGCUAAAUGGCAUAUA
rfam:Salmo salar isolate Sally breed double haploid chromosome ssa11, whole genome shotgun sequence.